rnacentral:rRNA from 1 species
GACGAACGCUGGCGGCGUGCUUAACACAUGCAAGUCGUACGGUAAGGCCCUUUCGGGGGUACACGAGUGGCGAACGGGUGAGUAACACGUGAGUAACCUGCCCACAACUUUGGGAUAACGCUAGGAAACUGGUGCUAAUACUGGAUAUGUGCUCCUGCUGCAUGGUGGGGGUUGGAAAGCUCCGGCGGUUGUGGAUGGACUCGCGGCCUAUCAGCUUGUUGGAGGGGUAGUGGCCUACCAAGGCGGCGACGGGUAGCCGGCCUGAGAGGGUGACCGGCCACAUUGGGACUGAGAUACGGCCCAGACUCCUACGGGAGGCAGCAGUGGGGAAUAUUGCACAAUGGGCGCAAGCCUGAUGCAGCAACGCCGCGUGCGGGAUGACGGCCUUCGGGUUGUAAACCGCGUUCAGCAGGGACGAAGCUUUUUGUGACGGUACCUGCAGAAGAAGCACCGGCUAACUACGUG